rnacentral:rRNA from 1 species
GAGUUUGAUCGUGGCUCAGAGCGAACGCUGGCGGCAGGCCUAACACAUGCAAGUCGAACGAUCCUUCGGGAUAGUGGCGGACGGGUGAGUAACACGUGGGAACGUGCCCUUUGGUUCGGAACAACUCAGGGAAACUUGAGCUAAUACCGAAUGUGCCCUUCGGGGGAAAGGAUUUAUCGCCAUUGGAGCGGCCCGCGUCUGAUUAGCUAGUUGGUGAGGUAAAGGCUCACCAAGGCGACGAUCAGUAGCUGGUCUGAGAGGAUGAUCAGCCACAUUGGGACUGAGACACGGCCCAAACUCCUACGGGAGGCAGCAGUGGGGAAUCUUGCGCAAUGGGCGAAAGCCUGACGCAGCCAUGCCGCGUGAAUGAUGAAGGUCUUAGGAUUGUAAAAUUCUUUCACCGGGGACGAUAAUGACGGUACCCGGAGGAGAAGCCCCGGCUAACUUCGUGCCAGCAGCCGCCGU